rnacentral:rRNA from 1 species
AUUGAACGCUGGCGGCAGGCCUAACACAUGCAAGUCGAGCGGUAGCACAGGGAGCUUGCUCCUGGGUGACGAGCGGCGGACGGGUGAGUAAUGUCUGGGAAACUGCCUGAUGGAGGGGGAUAACUACUGGAAACGGUAGCUAAUACCGCAUAACGUCGCAAGACCAAAGAGGGGGACCUUCGGGCCUCUUGCCAUCAGAUGUGCCCAGAUGGGAUUAGCUAGUAGGUGGGGUAAUGGCUCACCUAGGCGACGAUCCCUAGCUGGUCUGAGAGGAUGACCGGCCACACUGGAACUGAGAGACGGUGCAGACUCCUACGGGAGGCAGCAGUGGGGGAUAUUGCACAAUGGGCGCAAGCCUGACGCAGCCAUGCAGCGUGUAUGAAGCAGGCCUUCGGGUUGUAAAGUACUUUCAGCGGGGAGGAAGGUGUUGAGGUUAAUAACCUCAGCAAUUGACGUUACCCGCAGAAGAAGCACCGGCUAACUCCGUGCCAGCCGCCGCAGUAA